rnacentral:rRNA from 1 species
GACGAACGCUGGCGGCGUGCCUAAUACAUGCAAGUAGAACGCACAGUUUAUACCGUAGCUUGCUACACCAUAGACUGUGAGUUGCGAACGGGUGAGUAACGCGUAGGUAACCUGCCUGGUAGCGGGGGAUAACUAUUGGAAACGAUAGCUAAUACCGCAUAAUAUUAAUUAUUGCAUGAUAAUUAAUUGAAAGGUGCAAUUGCACCACUACCAGAUGGACCUGCGUUGUAUUAGCUAGUAGGUGAGGUAACGGCUCACCUAGGCGACGAUACAUAGCCGACCUGAGAGGGUGAUCGGCCACACUGGGAAUGAGACACGGCCCAGACUCCUACGGGAGGCAGCAGUAGGGAAUCUUCGGCAAUGGACGAAAGUCUGACCGAGCAACGCCGCGUGAGUGAAGAAGGUUUUCGGAUCGUAAAGCUCUGUUGUAAGAGAAGAACGGGUGUGAGAGUGGAAAGUUCACACUGUGGCGGUAUCUUACCAGAAAGGGACGGCUAACUACGUG